rnacentral:rRNA from 1 species
GAUGAACGCUAGCGGCAGGCCUAAUACAUGCAAGUCGAACGAGAUUAAGAGGCUUGCUUCUUAUGAAAGUGGCGCACGGGUGCGUAACGCGUAUGCAACCUACCUUAAUCAGGGGGAUAGCCCGAAGAAAUUCGGAUUAAGACCGCAUAAAAACACAGGAUAGCAUUAUCCAAUGUUCAAAUAUUUAUAGGAUUAAGAUGGGCAUGCGCGUCAUUAGCUAGUUGGCGGGGUAACGGCCCACCAAGGCGACGAUGACUAGGGGAUCUGAGAGGAUGACCCCCCACACUGGUACUGAGACACGGACCAGACUCCUACGGGAGGCAGCAGUAAGGAAUAUUGGUCAAUGGAGGGAACUCUGAACCAGCCAUGCCGCGUGCAGGAAGACAGCCCUCUGGGUCGUAAACUGCUUUUAUUCGGGAAUAAACCUUUCUACGUGUAGGAAGCUGAAUGUACCGAAGGAAUAAGGAUCGGCUAACUCCGUG